GCAAGUCGAACGAGAUUAAGAGGCUUUCUUCUUAUGAAAUUGGCGCACGGGUGCGUAACUCGUAUGCAACCUACCUUAAUCAGGGGGAUAGCUCGAAGAAAUUCGGAGUAAGACCGCAUAAAAACACAGUAUAGCAUUAUCCAAUGUUCAUAUAUUUAUAGGAUUAAGAUGGGCAUGCGUGUCAUUAGCUAGUUGGCGGGGUAACGGCCCACCAAGGCGACGAUGACUAGGGGAUCUGAGAGGAUGACC
rnacentral:rRNA from 1 species